GUAGCUAGUCUCUUAACCCCCUUCCUAGGGAGGUCGGCAGGCAUCACUAUGAAGCCUUUAAAAAGUUUAUCUCACAUGUUAGGGCCGCAAGGUUUUCUUCGCGAGCAGAUAUAGAUACCCCCCUUCCGAAUGGCACAAUGACGCGCAGCCUAUACACAUAGGGACAGGGGCUUGCACUAUACCCGUGUCGGUUCAGCCCCUCUAGCGCCCUUUCGGGUAACCUCUAACAAGCUAGAAAAGGUCUUCAUACUGAGCUAAAUCCAGAG
rnacentral:lncRNA from 1 species